GGGUUUUUAUUUUGUAAUUUAAACCUUAAAUUUAUUUUUUUAAUGUUUAUGUUUUUGAAUGUUUUAUUCAAAUAAUGUAAAAAAUAAAAUAGAUAUUGACAUGGAUUGAACAAAGAUAUAUAUUAUUUUAUGUUGCAUAAACAAAUUGGCAAAAUAAAGAUGGAAGAUAAAAAUAUGGU
rnacentral:misc_RNA from 1 species